CAGAUAGUCAUGUUACGGCACUAGGUUUUGGUCCAGAUGACAUAAUGUUGGUUGUAUCUAGACAUGGUAAAGCUGUAUACAAAACAAAGUUAGAUGUUAAAAACCAAAAGGAAGAACCCGAAGUGUUAAUAGAUACAGGUCUGAGGCAUGUAACU